rnacentral:rRNA from 1 species
UGGUGAGUUUAUAUAUAAAUAUAAGUGUGUGGAGUUUGUCAUGUCAACAUGUUCACAUAAUGUUUAGAAACCUGUUUUCAUAUCCCUCUGGUAUGAUACGAUUAGAUAUGUCGUUACGGUGUGGUUUGAAUCUGGUUGUGUUUUAUAGAAACUCAGUUGAUCCUGUUGUCCUGUGUCAACUCUGUGUGAUUGGUGGUGAGAGUGCACGUGUUAUAUAAUUAUCAGUUAACCAGUUAUCAUAUCAGAUACAUACCCGAAGUUGGAAGUCGGUUAAUCUUCGAUCGUGGACACUCUUGUUACCUCUUCCCUUACCCGACGGUAUGGUCGGUCCCCUCUACCUAAAGACUAUAAUUCUCCCCUCUCUCGUCCCGUUCGGUAACGGUUCUGGAGUGAGUAGAGGUAAGAAGGUUUAUCGGUUUGGUUGUCGAACAGAAGGGGUGGCAGAAGUAGAGAGAUGGAUGUUGGUUGUUCUUAGGUUCUCGUUAUUCACUUCUACCACUGGACUCGUUAUAACCUCUAGCUUCCCCUGUCCGAUCUCGUUCUUCGAUCGGAUGACCUGACCCCAGACCUCCAUCCUCGUUGUGAUCAUCCUGGUUGUCUCCCUCGUUCUCUUCUUUCCUUCGCUCAUAUCAGUCCUCUUCCUCCGCGAUGUUUUCGUUUGACUCAAGCCCCGACUUAUGCUAUUGAGUCUCGUUUCGAACAUACUCUUAAGAUGACCUGGUUCACUCCUCUCGUUACCACUACCGAUGUUGAUGUGUCCCCUGGAUCUACACCUAGGUAGAUCACGAUACAUGCUAGACCUACGGUGUAUACCCCCAACCCUACUUAUUCAUUGAUAGUAGAUCGAUACAUUAGGUCCUUGAUAAAAAUAGUGGUGGAUAAACCAUGACGAUCAACCUUGAGGUCACAAUCCUCUACAUUAUUAAACCACUUGUUCACUCUUCGGAUGGACUCUGAAAAUCGGGACGCACCGUACCAUAACAUUAUAUUUAAUGGUAGAGAUCGAUAAGGGACAACGUUUAGAGACUGU